AUGAACGCUGGCGGCGUGCCUAAUACAUGCAGGUCGAGCGAACGGACGAGAAGCUUGCUUCUCUGAUGUUAGCGGCGGACGGGUGAGUAACACGUGGAUAACCUACCUAUAAGACUGGGGUAACUUCGGGAAACCGGAGCUAAUACCGGAUAAUAUUUUGAACCGCAUGGUUCAAAAGUGAAAGACGGUCUUGCUGUCACUUAUAGAUGGAUCCGCGCUGCAUUAGCUAGUUGGUAAGGUAACGGCUUACCAAGGCAACGAUGCAUAGCCGACCUGAGAGGGUGAUCGGCCACACUGGAACUGAGACACGGUCCAGACUCCUACGGGAGGCAGCAGUAGGGAAUCUUCCGCAAUGGGCGAAAGCCUGACGGAGCAACGCCGCGUGAGUGAUGAAGGUCUUCGGAUCGUAAAACUCUGUUAUUAGGGAAGAACAUAUGUGUAAGUAACUGUGCACAUCUUGACGGUACCUAAUCAGAAAGCCACGGCUAACUACGUG
rnacentral:rRNA from 1 species